GAGCCAGUCAGUAUCGAGUCAACGCUUUAUGUGGGUUGUAUCUUGUUUUCGUGUCGGUCGGCCUUUUGUAAUUAAUUCAGUUUAUACGGUACUCUAAUGGUUUAACCAUUUGUCAAGUGAAAUAAACUUACUUUUGAUAAAGCAUAUUAAUUUUACUAGUUCAGUUGUGAAUUAAUUGUAAUGUUUCCGUGCAUUUUGUAUGUCCAGAAAGUUAAACAGCAUACAUGAAACAAAAUACAUUACGAAGGAUACCGCAAAGGAGAAAGGAAAACAACCCUCACAGUAAUCUAGCAAAGCAACCGAAAUGAUGAUUAUGGUUGAAAGAGAUUGAAAAGAUACAAAAAGUGAAGAAAAAAUGACGAAGUUUGUGUUUGUACGCUGAAGCGCAGGAAAUUUGUAUGCUUGAAACAUAAUAAAUUGAUUCAAACAUGCGCACCUGAAGUAAAAAGUGAAUUAAAUUCAAAUACGCACCUUCUGACUAGAGGGCGGCAAGAAGUGGUAAAUAAUUGCACAAACCGCUUAGUGAAUGUGUAUACUUUCUAGUUAGUUAAACCAAGUGAAAGUGUUUUUAGUCCAACUGUUGAAUUAUUGUACCAUUUUGGAUGUUCAUUGUUGUCGGUUUAGUGCUGUUUUCCUCGUGGAUCUAAUAACAAUAAUAAAUUCGUUGGCGGUCACUGGAUACUGCGUGGAAAACUACUUUGAUACUUCAACACCUGUUUUAUAGCACAAACAGAUAAUGUCAAACCUGUCAAGAAACAGAUGAUGCUAUUGACCAGCUGUAACAGCCUCGAGCAAACAGUGUUUUGAAGAAAAGUAUCCCACCAGCAGGGCGAUCAGGUUUAUAGUAAUUAACAGUGAUCAAUUAAGCAUCGGAAACGUACACAAAAGUAGAUCACUGCUCGUAACUCGCACACGAGAUGCCCGCGACUCCGACAGUUUGCCUGCUAGCUGUUGAAAUAACACACUUUCUACUGUGGGGGCCAAUAAACUAAUGACAAGUGCAAUCGUGUAUAAUUAGGUAGAUGAUAAUACGCCUUCGUAGCGGCGAAGCUAACAAAAAUGUAUCAAGUGUGAUAUUGAGUGCAUUCACCCCAGGUGAACGCGGUCGCCAAGCGAACAAAAAGAAUAAUCAACUUUAGGAGAACAUAUUUUCUGUAAGGAUUCCUCUUCACUAUAAAACAGCAAAAUGGAAACGGACAGCACGGUAGCGACGCUACGGCAACACCUGCACCGAUUCGUGAUCGUCCUGAUAGUGAUAGUUAGCUGCUUUUUAGAUAGGAUUGACAGUUGGACGCCAGAUGCCCUGACCAAAUCGAAAAUUACGUAUGAUAACACGAUACCAGCCUUUUUCGGCAACAGCACUGAUUACUUUAAGCUGCUCGAUCAGGACGACAAUUCGAUACUGAUCGGGGCGCGGAAUGCGUUGUACAACAUCAGUCUCGAUCGGUUGAUUGAGAACACGAGCCAGCGAGUGAUAUGGAGCUCGUCGGAUGCACACCGGGAACUGUGCACGCUCAAGGGCAAACUGGACCAGGAUUGUCAGAACUAUAUCCGCGUGUAUGCGCGGGUAGGGGCCAAUAGGAUUAUGCUGUGCGGGACUAACUCGUACAAGCCGUUGUGUCGUUACUACAACAUACUUCCCAGCGAUGGGACCAUAGCGUAUGAUAGCAACGAAAUGGAAGCGCUCGGACGGUGUCCGUAUAAUCCGCUUCACAACAGCACUUAUGUUUAUACAGAUGGUCACCUAUACUCGGCGACGGUAGCUGAUUUCUCGGGCGCAGAUCCGUUAAUCUACCGAGAGCCACAACGGACGGAACAGUACGACAGUAAACAGCUGAAUCAACCGGCAUUUGUAAGUGCUGUGGAACACAACGGAUAUGUGUUGUUCUUUUUCCGUGAGGUCGCCGUUGAGUACAUGAACUGUGGCAAGGCGAUUUACUCCCGUGUUAGCCGGGUCUGCAAGAAUGACAAAGGAGGACCACAUCCGCUGAACGAUAAGUGGACGUCGUUCCUAAAGGCGCGAUUGAACUGUUCUAUUCCUGGGGAAUAUCCGUUCUACUUUGACGAAAUUCAAUCUACCACGAAAACCAUCAACGGCAUCUACGGAGGUGGAAUGAACCAGAUUAUCUACGUGAUCAUGACCACUCCAGAGAAUGCGAUCGGUGGUUCGGCCGUCUGUGCCUUCUCCAUCCAGGAUAUUUUGGACACGUUUGAAGGUCCGUUCAAAUCACAGCGCGACAGCCACUCCAACUGGCUGCAGGUACCCCAGAGCCAGGUACCGGAACCACGUCCAGGAAAGUGUGUUGACGAUAGCCGAACAUUGCCGAAAGCAUCGGUUAACUUCGUCAAAAUGAACACCCUGAUGGACUCGUCUGUGCAUUCUCUACACUCACGACCAGUUUUCACUCGUGUCAGUUUACUGUACCGGCUAUCGGCAAUCACUGUCGAUCCACAGGUGAAAGCUCUCGAUGGCAAGACGUACGAUGUAAUUUUCGUUGGAACAAACGAUGGAAAGGUUAUCAAAUUCGUUAACAUUUUAUCGUCUAACUCGACGGAGGAUGUAAAAACGGUCGUCAUCAGCGAAACGCAGGCUUUCCCCUUAGGGAAUAAAGUCAACGAGAUGACUAUUUCUAAGAAGAACAAAAAGUUGAUAGUGAUAAGCAAUGGGAAAAUUAUAUCGCUCCCAUUGAGUAAUUGCAACGAGCACGAGUUCAAAUCCUGUCGCAAAUGUUUGGAACUGCAAGAUCCCUACUGCGCUUGGGAUGAUGUUAAUCGGGAAUGCCGCGCCAUAGAAGAGAUACACACCAACAGUUAUUCUAUCGAGAACCUGUACCAGCGGUUGGAUGGAUCUAAAGUAAACGAAAUUUGCAAAAAGUACGACCAACGUGACCAGCGGCAGCACAAUGCGGAGGAUAACGACGUAUACACGCGCGUCGAUGGAUCGGGCAGUGCCGAGAAGGAGAAGCCCAGCGAAGCGAAAAACGUAGUCAUCAUACAGUCCACCCGGGGAACGGUGUCCGCGGUCGGUCCAAUCGAUAUAGAUAAUGAGAUAUCCAUGACCUCGAUCGAAGGAAGCGAGUUGACAAACAAAAUCGGUCCCCACCAGUACCAUCAUAAAAUAGAUCCCUUCGUAAAGGAAGACGUCUCGGUAGCCUCGCUAGGAUGGAAAUUCUACAUUAUUCUAGUAGUUUUUUCGCUCGUCAUUGGAAUACUACUUGGUUUUCUCAUUACUCGCCAGAUGAUCAAAAGGCAGUCCUUUCACGGCAGCAGUGAACAUCGAAACCAGUUGAAUUGGCACCACGCUAAGAAUCUGAGCAUGCUGUCUCAGAAUCGAACCAGCGGGAAGGACGUCAAUCUACUAAUGAACACUACCAAUCAGUAUCAUACGCAGCAUCAAGCAAUCGUUCAGCAGCUGCAACAGCAGCAAAAUAACAUGAAAGACAAUAUCGAUUUUGACUUCAAGGAUCGAAGCGUCGAGUGCAAAAAUUCAACGGAAAAUCUGGAAAAGGACAUCAGCAAAGGCAUGGGCACCCUGCAGAAGGUGAAGAAGACGUAUAUUUGAUAGUAAGACUGACUGCUUUCGGUGAUUGGGACAAAAUAACCGCUCGCUGUGCUAGUGCGCAACCCCUCCCGCAACCCAUACAUACACACACUUUUCGAUAUUUCGACCGCCACUCAAGAUCUUCACCAGUUGGAUUCGUCAAAAUUAUCUCUUCUUCUUCUGCCUGUGGAACGUUUCUUCUUCUUCAACUAAAGCACAUUAAGGUACAGACUCGACAGUUGAAGACAUUCAAGCCUUAGAAGAAUUGUGAGUAAAUUCAAAGAGCUACAAAUGUAAUUUGUAACUUUCUUAGCAUUGCGUGAGAGAAGCACCGGGACGGAAAAAAUGUGUGUACAGGAAGAAUAUUAUAGUGAGAGACUGCGUGCCUAGCACAACCCAUUCCCUGCCUAGCCAACCACAGUUGGCCUAUUCAGAAAUGGAGGCCUUACAGUAGUAGAACAAACCACGUGCCCAUUCUGCACAGAAACGUGCGCAAAUGACAGGAAAUGCCUUAGUGAUAAUUGUAAUGUCAUUAUCACUGAUGAACCCCAAUAGCAUAGUAGGCCGACAGCCAUUCGGGAACCUUACUCGGAAGCCAUCGUAUGCUUCGAUUCCCAGAAAAAUGUCAAUACAAUGCCUUACAUGAGUAAGCAACCCUCGCCGAGGGCACUAGCUUAUUACGACACGAACGAUCAAAUUUCCAGUAUCUGUUAGGAAAACAAACCUCUUAUAAUUACGAGUGGUACAGCAGGUUGGGCACCAAAUUCUUAGCUGCAUGCAUUUUCUCUGCGAGGUGUCAAAAAUGGGAUGUGUUUUGUUAAAAUUGUUGAAAAAUGGUUCUUCCAACCGAAACAAAAACAAAUUGGCAACAUUUAAAGGUGCGUUCGACUCGAAAACAAACCAAGCCAAGCUUGGUUGCUUUCGUCACAUUUACUAGGUUAAGUUUGUGAUGUGAUCGUUUUCGUGUGCGGCUAAAAGUUUGGGGUCAGCUCCAAUUGUACAAACACUCAUUCAUCUUUCAUUACAUUAAUGAUCUAGCGAAUAGCCCGUACAGUUUUAGGCUUAGUAAUCUUCGUUUUUUAGUUAACAACAAAUGUUUUACAAUAGCGGAAGUAUUUCUCAGUAAAUCGACAGUCAUGACAGGACAGGACCCCGUUCCCUCUUAAGGGAUUACACCGCUGUAGAAUAUGGAAAAAGAUUCUGUAAAAUGGUAUUUUCAAUACUAAAUAUGAAGUACAAAAAACAGUAAUUUAAUCACAAAUUGCGGCUAUGCAGCAUUUUUCCGCUGGUUCGUUUAUUCAAUGGGGUCCACGUGACCGGAAAUCUUAGUUUUUUUUUAAUUUUCAAAAAGCCAAUGUUUUUGCGGUUUACAAAUAUCCAAACGGUUUCGUGCCGCCUUCCUCUUUUUGAAACCCUAAAGCAAGCAUGGGGAAAAUCGCAUCGUGAACAGAUCGUUCGCGCUUCGCAAGCAAGCUUUCUUCAGUUGCGAUGCAUUCUGUUAGCUUCGAAAAUGAUACCUAGCAACCUGUCGUUACGGACACAUGCGAUUCAAAGCUAUAACAACCAACGAAGAAGCACAUCAGUUGUGUUUUAAUUCUUUCCUUCCCCAACGCGGAUGGCUUCGUUCGCGAAGCUCUUCUCGAGCGGUUCGCGGUUUGCAUAGGAUUUUCAUUAUACAGUUUUAUUUCAUUUUCAUAUUCGCACAAUAUAAUUAAUACUUGGAAAACCAUAUACCAUUUUAAAACUAGCUGAUAAUAUUAAAAAUUUGCAACAAUGCACUGCUAACAAAUAGGCCGCAAGGAACUUCAGUAGAUCAAAUUGCUAGUAGUGUAUCACAAAACUACCCAUAACGCGAUCUGUCAGCAAAAAAUCCAGUGCAAAAAUAGGUACUAUGUUUUAAUCAUGCAUGAAGAAACCUUUGUGAGCUUCGCGAAGCUACGUGACAAACAUUCACGAGCGAAGAAUUGACGCUGCUCUUAAAUUUUUUAAGCUUCACUUUUUAUUCGCAGUUUGCCCAUCUAGUGACCUGCUCUGAAGUUAUUAGACUUCUCCCUUCGUGCGUUGAUUAUGGUUAAUUAGUGAGCACAAAAUUUUGACUACUUUGUGAUCCACAGUUAGAAACAGUCGCGCGAGUGAACGAAUUUUCCCAUGCCUGCCCUAAAGCAAAUUUUAGGCGAACCUAAAAAUUCGAUUUUUGAAAAUUCUACAGUGGGGUAACUCCUUAAAGAAAAACAAUUACGAUAUCGAUUAUAUUUUUAUUAUGCACAUUUUAUUUUAAUUGCUCAAGAAUCUCAAGCGAAAAUACUCCGAAAUGUAUGCUGAACGCGAAUCGAAUGGCAAUUGUGCAUGUAUUUUCUGUAGGCAUUUUAUUUAAGGUUACGUUUGUUUAGUGCAAGCAUCCCACCCUGGUAAAGGAAAAAGCAAUAUGCAUUUUGACCAUCGUCAUCCAUCCAUUUAGGCCACAGAUUACGUGACAUUUUUUCGGUUUACGUCGACUAGUUUGUUCAAAUCAUCAUGUUUCGCAAAAUUAGGCUAUGUAAUGUCACCUGAGAACAGAUUUUUAUAUAUUUAUGCUUAGUUAAAUACGAACAAAAAAUGUGAUAAACUUGAGUAUUUUUUAUUUUGUAUUGUUGUAGAACAGAUCUACGGCUUCUUUUUACCUCUAGGGUAAAUUAGGUGUAGACACCAUCAUUUCUAGAAUAUUUCAUCAUAAAAAUGAAGUGUGAAUGAAAAAUGUUGAUAGUUAAAUACUAUGAAAUGCUUGUACUCGUUGAAGCAUGGUCGAACAACACAAUUGUAUCUUUUUUAGGAUAUUUAAUUUCAUGUUUUAGGUUAGUUUCAAAAUAAAAUGACGUAAUUUAUCCGACACAGAGUAUGUGAGAAUUGAGAGUGGCAAAAGUAUGUAAAAUUGUUAUAAUUGUAAAUAUUUGAUUAAGAACAUUUACAGAGAAAUAAAUAUAUAGAAAAGUAAA